GCGAGUGAAGCGGCAACAGCUCAAAUUUGAAAUCUGGCCCCCUCGGGGCCCGAGUUGUAAUUUGUAGAGGAUGUUUCGGGUGUGGCUCCGGUCUAAGUUCCUUGGAACAGGACGUCAUAGAGGGUGAGAAUCCCGUAUGUGACUGGCAGCCUACGCCCAUGUGAAACUCCUUCGACGAGUCGAGUUGUUUGGGAAUGCAGCUCAAAAUGGGUGGUAAAUUUCAUCUAAAGCUAAAUAUUGGCCAGAGACCGAUAGCGCACAAGUAGAGUGAUCGAAAGAUGAAAAGCACUUUGGAAAGAGAGUUAAACAGUACGUGAAAUUGUUGAAAGGGAAGCGCUUGCAACCAGACUUGCGUGCGGCCGAUCAUCCGGUGUUCUCACCGGUGCACUCGGUCGUGCUCAGGCCAGCAUCGGUUUCGGCGGCUGGAUAAAGGCCAUGGGAAUGUAGCUCCUCUCGGGGAGUGUUAUAGCCCGUGGUGCAAUGCAGCCCGCUGGGACCGAGGACCGCGCUUCGGCUAGGAUGCUGGCGUAAUGGUUGUAAGCGACCCGUCUUGAAACACGGACCAAGGAGUCUAACAUCUAUGCGAGUGUUUGGGUGUCAAACCCAUACGCGGAAUGAAAGUGAACGGAGGUGAGAACCCUUAAGGGUGCAUCAUCGACCGAUCCUGAUGUCUUCGGAUGGAUUUGAGUAAGAGCAUAGCUGUUGGGACCCGAAAGAUGGUGAACUAUGCCUGAAUAGGGUGAAGCCAGAGGAAACUCUGGUGGAGGCUCGCAGCGGUUCUGACGUGCAAAU
rnacentral:rRNA from 1 species